AAUUAAUGAGCUUGAAAAAUAAGCAUAUGCUUUGAAAGCAUAAGAUGACAGUUAAGUCUGUUAUUAAUUU
rnacentral:tRNA from 1 species